rnacentral:rRNA from 1 species
UAUUUCACAAUGGAGGGAACUCUGAUGCAGCGACGCCGCGUGAGUGAAGAAGUAAUCCGUGAUGUAAAGCUCUAUCAGCAGGGAAGAAAGUGACGGUACCUGAAAAAGAAGCUCCGGCUAAAUACGUGCCAGCAGCCGCGGUAAUACGUAUGGAGCAAGCGUUAUCCGGAUUUACUGGGUGUAAAGGGAGAGUAGGUGGCAGAGCAAGUCCGAAGUGAAAACCCAAAGCUCAACUAUGGGAAUGCUUUAGAAACUGCUCAGCUAGAGUGCAGGAGAGGCAAGUGGAAUUCCUAGUGUAGCGGUGAAAUGCGUAGAUAUUAGGAGGAACACCAGUGGCGAAGGCGGCUUGCUGGACGAUGACUGACGUUGAGGCUCGAAAGCGUGGGGAGCAA